UAUCUCUGGCUCCUCUGCAUUUAAUCGAGAAAAUCUUUCGCCUUUUACUAAAGAUUUCCGUGCAAAGGUGCAUUUUAUGAGUAU
rnacentral:snRNA from 1 species